rnacentral:rRNA from 1 species
AUGCCUCCUACUUAUGAUGAUUAUAUUGAUGAAAGUGGGUUUGGAAGAUUGUCAACUUUAGGAAGUAAUGAUCCCACUAUUUUGGAGGAUGUUGAAUCUUAUUGUGAUAAUUAUGAAAGUGGAUUUGGAGAGGUCAUGACUUUAUUUAGUAAUGAUUCCACUAUCUUGGAAGAGGUUUCAAUUGAUUAUGAUGAGAACAAAGUUGCUACUUAUGAUGAUUAUUGUGAUGAUACUUAUGCUAUAAAAAGUGGUGAUGAUUAUAUUUAUAAAACUUGUCAUGAUUAUCAUUACCCUUUCUCUAAACAUUAUCCUUUUAAUGUGGAAACAAUUUAUAGUAUUCGGGUUUCUUAUGAUACUCCCACAAUUCUGAAUGAGAAGAAUUUUGCUUAUGUGGAGAGUAAUAAAAUUUCUAUGCUUGUAGAUCAUGAAAAGAAUGCUUUAGGUGCUGGUUAUAUUGUUGAAUUAAUUCAUGAUGCUACUGAAAAUUAUUAUGAGGGCGGAAUAUAUGCUUGUAGGAAUUGCAAUAAUAUCAAGUUUCCUCUCUAUGUGCUUAAAGUUUUGAAGUUAUGCUUGUUUUGCCUUCCUAUGCUAGUUGAUUAUUGUUCCCAUAAAUUGUUUGAUCACAAAAUCACUAUGCAUAGUAAGUGGGUUAGACUUAAAUGUGCUAGUCAUAUUCUUCAUGAUGCUCUCUUUAUGUUUCAAUUCUUAUCUUUUAUGUGA